GAGCAGUAAGCCUGGGGGAGCAGAGAGAGACAGAUUGAGUAGGCGCUUCUCUGCUUAUCCCUGACUAGAAGGCAAUGAGUUUCCUUCCAAGCAACCUGCUCAUAGCCGUGGAUACUGAUAUGAGUGGACACGCCUCUCUCCUCUCUGCUCAGGAUACGGAAAAAGCUUGAGGGAGGGAGAGGAGGAGGAGGAGGAGGAAGGGCAGCAAAGGAGGGGCAUGGAGAGUGAGGCGCAGGACAUUUGCAAACAGAUUGAGUCAGUCAGCUGAGAAAGAGAGAGAGAGAGGGGGGGAUAGAGAGUGAUAGGGAGUGAAUAACUAACUGUUGAUGUGCUUAAAGCUGUUCUGGGUUGAGGAGCUGAGUGUAUUGUGAAUCAUGGCCUUCAGGAAGAGGAGCUUCACUUUUGGCGCCUAUGGAGGAGUGGACAAAAGUUUCUCCAAGGCUAGGAGUCACUGGAAACAUGAUGGCAGAGUCCCUCGAAUCUCUGAUGUGUUAGAGCAUCCCCUGAGCCCCCUACAACCCCUGCCCGUUCCUUCUGGGCUUCCUAAGACCUCAGAUUUAUUUGCGAUGAUCGAGCGGAUGCAGAACAGCAGAAUGGAUGAGCAGAGAUGCACACUUCCACCCCCCCUCAAAACAGAGGAAGACUACAUUCCAUAUCCAGGUGUUCAUGAGGUGCUGUCUCGGAAAGCCCCCUUUCCCUUAAUUUUGCUGCCUCAGUUUGGAGGUUAUUGGAUUGAAGGCACCAAUCAUGACCUCAGUUCGACCCCUGCUCCUGAGGAGCCACCUCCAUGCCCAGCAUCACAGAUUAAACUGGAGACAAACAGCACAGCAAAGAUCUACAGAAAAGACUUCAUGGGCAAGGAGCACUUUAAUUAUUACUCUAUGGACACCGCACUGGGCCACCUCGUCUUCUCCGUGAAGUAUGACGUGAUCGGGGACCAAGAGCACCUGCGUUUAAUGCUCAGGUCAAAGUACAAAACCUACCAUGAUGUGAUACCUAUUUCCUGUCUCACUGAGUUUCCUAACGUGGUGCAGAUGGCAAAGCUGGUGUGUGAAGAAGUGAAUGUGGACAGAUUUUACCCUGUACUCUACCCAAAGGCCUCCAGACUCAUUGUAACAUUUGAUGAACAUGUCAUAAGCAACAAGUUCAAGUUUGGGGUCAUCUAUCAGAAGUUUGGACAGACAUCAGAAGAGGAGCUUUUUGGAAACAGUGUGGAGAGUCCCGCCUUCGUUGAGUUCCUGGAGUUUUUAGGGCAGAAGAUUGAGCUGCAUGAUUUUAAAGGGUUUCGAGGAGGCCUCGAUGUCACACACGGUCAAACUGGAAGUGAGUCGGUGUACCACAACUUCCACAACAAAGAAAUCAUGUUCCACGUUUCCACUAAACUUCCCUACACUGAAGGAGACUCACAGCAGUUUGAACGUAUUUUUUUAAUCUGUGCACAUUGUGUAGAGGAGGCUGUCAUACCUGUGCUAAAAGGCAUGUCAUUGCAGGUGUCAGUGACAGCGAGAGAUGACGUGCCUUUCUUCGGGCCUGCUCUCCCAGACCCAGCUGUAUUCAAAAAGAGCCCAGAAUUUCAUGAGUUCCUCCUGACAAAACUCAUCAAUGCUGAGUAUUCCUGCUAUAAGGCUGAGAAGUUUGCCAAGUUGGAGGAGAGAACACGCUCUGCACUGCUGGAAACUCUGUACGAGGAGCUGCAUGUGAACAGCCAGUGCAUGAUGGGAUUGGGAGGAGAUGAUGAUAAGCUGGAGAACGGAGGUGGAGGAGGAGGAGGCUUUUUUGAGUCUUUUAAGAGAGUAAUUCGCAGUAGGAGUCAGUCUAUGGACGCUAUGGGCCUGAGCAAUAAGAAGCCUCACACUGUCUCGACCAGCCACAGUGGCAGCUUUACCCACAAUCCCCCAGACACACCCAAAACGCCGGGAAUUGUGAGUAUUUCUUCUACUUUCCAGUUAUUGAAGAUCGUCACUCUUAAUUGCCAUUUUCUCUGCUCUCUGAGGUCUGCUCAGCGUGGCCACAGCUGGUGGGGACCGUGGCUCUUACCCCAUGUGUCUUUGAUCAUACCCGGUAAGAGCCCAACCCGGAAGAAAUCAGGCCCGUUCAGCUCCAGACGAAGCAGCGCCAUCGGUAUUGAGAACAUCCAGGAGGUCCAGGAGAGAAGUAGGGAGGUGUCCCCCAGCACACAGAAAACACCCGACAGUGGCCACGCCUCACAGGACCCCAGAUCUGAUAACUCCUCCAAUCACAGCUCACCUGAGAUGCCCACCACCAGGACUAGAGCACCCUCCAUCCCAGAGACUCAUGACCUGUCUCGUUCCUCGUCCAACGCCAGCAGCUUUACCAGUGUAGUAGAGGAAAACGAGCACGAACAAGAAGCUACAGAGGACUACGACACAGGACUGGAGAGCCUGUCUUCUGCCGGGACUCCUCACAAACGAGACUCACUAACAUACAGUGCUGGCUGGCUGGAGGAGAGCAUUAACAGCACUGGCCAAGGCAGCCCAGUCCCCACUCGACCGACGUCUGACCCUGUUCGACCCAAAACAGAGAGACAGCACUCUGCGUCGGUGAGAGCUUAUUACAGUUUCAUAUUGAUUUGAUGGACACUAUAGAGCUAAGAAUUAUGAAUGUUAAGAUUAAAGUUGCUUAAUGUUGUAAUGAGUCCUGCAAUGCUUUUGACGCUCUGUAUAAUAUGUGUGUGUGUGUGUGUGUGUGUGUGUGUGUGUGUGUUUGUUCUUCUGUACAGAACUGUUAGGCUCUUCUCACAGAUUAUUUCAUGGAUGUCCAUCAGAAGGUACAGCUUUUCAGAUCAAAUAUACUGUAGAGGGGUAUACUGCAUGAGGGGUAUACUGCAUUUGGGACACUCAACUGAGUAUACAAUCAUAUGAAAAAGUUUGGGCACCCCUAUUAAUCUUAAUCAUUUUUAGUUCUAAAUAUUUGGGUGUUUGUCCUCAACUGUUCUCACCAUUCUUCUUCUCUGCCUUUCUGAUAUUUUUCUUGGCCUG
ensembl:lncRNA